CUUUUUCUGCUUGUUGGCCAAGGUCAGUUUACUGAAUCCCUUCCAAACACCAACCCAAUCUCCAUUCCUUGAUGGGAAAUGAGCAAGACCAUAUGUUUAUAUAAAAUAUAGCCCCUAUAUAAACCUAGCCCUUACUACCCGAACUUCUUACCUUCAAAUAGGACUAACUGCCCGAACCCGUUUGCUUAUCUUCUACGAUCUAAUUAAGUUAAAAGGAAAUAGGCGCACGAAACGAAGUGAAUCAUUGAUUUUAAGUUCAAGUAAGGGCGGAGCUUUCAGACAAAAAAUCCAAUUCGAUUCAAAGAUCGGAAUCAUACCUCCUGCGGGCAAGGUCGGCUCAAGAAAUGGAAGUUGUGAGAUGGAAAGAAAACCACGAAAAAAGAACUGAAUUAGGGAUCAAUCCAUACGCGGCUUGCCUUCUCCCCUUCCCCAUAGUAAGCCAGCCAAUAG
rnacentral:lncRNA from 1 species